CAACACUCUCCAGAGAGCGCUGGCUCAGAGCAAAGCAGCUGGAGCUCUCCAGGAAGGCCCGGCUUCAGCAGCAGAAGAGUGUGAAUGGGAACGAGCUUUAGAGCGCCGAGCGUGCAGGGAACGGCAAGCUACGGCCUCUGUGCGUGCAGUCCACAGUCCUUUACACCACAUUGUUUUAUAGGGAAUUUGUAUCCAAAAACACAGUGACUUUUCCUGAAAUCAAGUCUGGUGACACCUAAAGUUUAUAUGAUUCUCUGUAAGGGUUUUUACCUUACUGGUUUUAUGGAGUUUUGGAGUUUGUUUUAUAAUUAGUUAUGAUGUACAAAAAUGUAUUUGAUAUUAAAGGUUUAAUAAUGAUAAUGUUGCUGAUCACACCAUUUUCUUAGCCACAGCUACAUCUUAGGCCAGACUAUGAAGUGCCAGCUUCCUCUGCAGAGUUAUUUGAAGAGCUGUGUUAAUUCAGAACAGGUCUGAGCGACAAGUUCGAGAUAUGACUUCUGUAGUGUCAUUUUCUACACAGCUGCCACAGACGCAGUUUCCCACGUCCCAGCUGUACCAGCCGGCAGAACUGGCCUUUCCCAGAACAGGUGGCGGUUCCUGGCUUUCAGAUUUCAUAGACUGGUAAUACCUUUCUGAGGUAGGGGUGCCAAUUGAUUUUGCCAAGUCAUUUGAAAGAAAAAAAGAACAAAACACACUGUGAUCACUAUUUUGUUUUCAUAAAGGACAUUCUCAGAACACGAGCAUCUUUUAAUGGAAUAAAUGCAGCUUUGUGAAGACC
rnacentral:lncRNA from 1 species